CGAAACCCCACAGCUCCUAAGAAUUCUCUCACCUGCCUUCUGCCCUUAAGCUCCGGUAGAUUGCAAAUAACCUGCUUUCUUUCUGUUCCCGAGCUGCGUUCGGACCCAUGUCUUAUUGUAAAUCCCACGCAAGGUGCGUUCGGACCCGUCUGAUCGUAAAUCCCAUGUAAGGUACCUGCCGUCGGAAGAUUUGAACGUUCUACUUGGACACCUAAAACCCACAGUCCUCCAGGGAAACAGUAAUAUUAGUAACAGCAGCAGCAUGUAUUCACUGGGCACUUCUCAGUACCUGGCCUCAUGGCUCCCACUUUGUAGGCGCCAGUGGGAUCAAGAGAGGGCAACAUUGCAACUCUCCAUGCUCCUGCAAUAUCCAUGGCUAUUCUGUAGGCAGAAAGACAACAGGUACAAAGCCCUAAGGAUUAUAAAGGUAUGCUGCUUACCAUCAUCUUAGUGACCAAGGCAGCGAAGCUGUUUCUGUACCUUGGAACAGUCUUCCCUGACAAGCCAGAGAACAGUGAUAAAGCCACCAGCCUUGGGAUCAGGACUGAAAAGGCAAGAGUGAUGGAGAUUUCUCCUGCGCUAAGCCAAGAGAAGGUUUCAGCACUUCAGACAGCUCCCACCGAAGUAGCCGCGCUCCCAGCUGCUUGCAGAUGUUGAAAAGGAAAGCCUCGGUUUGUCUUGAGGUUGUCAGCAGGUGCAAGACACGUAAUAAAAUGCAAUGUGUUCCUAAUACACUUAUCUACAAACAGUCUUCAGAGAGGUGAUCGGAUGGAAGAUAUUAACAUGAUUCUGGAGUCUGCUAGGAGCUGCUCUGACUGGUGGCUACUGAGAUACCAGUGACGGGAAGGUGCUACAUCGUUAACAACAGUGCCUUUCAAAAAUGAUGAACUAUAAUCUACUGGAAACACAAGGACAAACCCUACUGUGAAGCAGUGGAGACUGGAGUCCUGCAUUUGCUGAACUUUCUUUUUAUGUGUUGGAUUCUGAUUUUAUAUUCAUUUCCAUUCAUGUGGACUCUGAAGAGGUAAACUCACCAAGGACACUUGAAGAAGUCACGUCCAGGGAUCACUGUCAUCACAAAUGGAGAAAAGGCCAAUGUCUUUCCAUGCUGCCUCACCAGAAAAGGACUGAGUUGGUACAGACCUUCACUCCAGCUUACUGUCCAUGACCUCGUCACACUCCAGGCCCAGGCUUGAGCUACAUGUUCUAGAAAGCCCCUAACUUCUCUAGGUCUCAAGUCUAAUCUCUGCAUCUGUGCCAGGUUCCCUGAGACUACUCUAAAGCUUGAUGAUUCACUAGGAUUCACAGGACUCAGAAAAGCUUACUUUUCUGAAUUAGAUGUACUGUUCUGAUAUAUUACAGCAAAAGGAUAUGAGUUCAAAUCAGAAUAAAAUAAAAGGUACAUGGGGCAGAGUCCAGGAGAAACCAGGAUAUUUUACAGCUGAGAAGGAAAUUAUGCAGCCUGUAGGAUAAAUUCCUCUCCUGGCAGAUUGAGUGGAUGUAGCACCAGAAGCUCCCAGAAUAAUCACAACUUC
rnacentral:lncRNA from 1 species